GAUGAACGCUGGCGGCGUGCCUAAUACAUGCAAGUCGAGCGAACAGACGAGGAGCUUGCUCCUCUGAUGUUAGCGGCGGACGGGUGAGUAACACGUGGAUAACCUACCUAUAAGACUGGGAUAACUUCGGGAAACCGGAGCUAAUACCGGAUAACAUGUUGAACCGCAUGGUUCAACAGUGAAAGACGGUCUUACUGUCACUUAUAGAUGGAUCCGCGCCGCAUUAGCUAGUUGGUAAGGUAACGGCUUACCAAGGCAACGAUGCGUAGCCGUCCUGAGAGGGUGAUCGGCCACACUGGAACUGAGACACGGUCCAGACUCCUACGGGAGGCAGCAGUAGGGAAUCUUCCGCAAUGGGCGAAAGCCUGACGGAGCAACGCCGCGUGAGUGAAGAAGGUCUUCGGAUCGUAAAACUCUGUUAUUAGGGAAGAACAAAUGUGUAAGUAACUAUGCACGUCUUGACGGUACCUAAUCAGAAAGCCACGGCUAACUACGUG
rnacentral:rRNA from 1 species